rnacentral:rRNA from 1 species
CCUACGGGUGGCUGCAGUGAGGAAUAUUGGUCAAUGGCCGUAAGGCUGAACCAGCCAAGUAGCGUGAGGGAAGACUGCCCUAUGGGUUUUAAACCCCUUUUAUGCGGGGAUAAAUGUGUCCACGUGUGGAUGUUUGCAGGUACCGCAUGAAUAAGGACCGGCUAAUUCCGUGCCAGCAGCCGCGGGAAUACGGAAGGUCCGGGCGUUAUCCGGAUUUAUUGGGUUUAAAGGGAGCCUAGGCCGGUCAUUGAGCCUGAUGUGAAAUUUUUGGGCUCAACCAGGGAAUUGAGGCUCGAACUGGUGAGCUAGAGUGUUGUGAAGGGGGGUAGAAGUCGAGGGGUAGCGGUGAAAUGCUUAGAGAUGAGGAGGAAGACCGGUGGCGAAGGCGGCCCCCUGGACAAAGACUGACGCUCAGGUGCGAAAGUGUGGGUAGAAAACAGGAUUAGAUACCCGGGUAGUC